ACAUGCAAGUCGAACGGUAGCACGCCUUCGGGCGCUGACGAGUGGCGGACGGGUGAGUAACGCGUAGGAAUCUGCCUGGUAGUGGGGGACAACGUGGGGAAACUCACGCUAAUACCGCAUACGCUCCUGAUUGAAAGAUGGGGAGGAAAGCGGGGGCUCUUCGGACCUCGCGCUAUCAGAUGAGCCUGCGUUAGAUUAGCUAGUUGGUAGGGUAAAGGCCUACCAAGGCGACGAUCUAUAGCUGGUCUGAGAGGACGAUCAGCCACACUGGGACUGAGACACGGCCCAGACUCCUACGGGAGGCAGCAGUGGGGAAUAUUGGACAAUGGGCGCAAGCCUGAUCCAGCAAUACCGCGUGUGUGAAGAAGGCCUUCGGGUUGUAAAGCACUUUCAAUGGGGAGGAAAACCUGCCGGCCAAUACCCGGCAGCUUGACAUUACCUAUAGAAGAAGCACCGGCUAACUCCGUGCCAGCAGCCGCGGUAAUACGGAGGGUGCGAGCGUUAAUCGGAAUUACUGGGCGUAAAGCGUGCGUAGGCGGUUCGUUAAGUCAGAUGUGAAAGCCCCGGGCUUAACCUGGGAACGGCAUUUGAUACUGGUUAACUAGAGUUUAAUAGAGGGGAGUGGAAUUUCAGGUGUAGCGGUGAAAUGCGUAGAUAUCUGAAGGAACACCAGUGGCGAAGGCGACUCCCUGGAUUAAAACUGACGCUGAGGUACGAAAGCGUGGGUAGCAAACAGGAUUAGAUACCCUGGUAGUCC
rnacentral:rRNA from 1 species